AUUGAACGCUGGCGGCAUGCCUUACACAUGCAAGUCGAACGGUAACGGGCCUUCGGGUGCCGACGAGUGGCGAACGGGUGAGUAAUACAUCGGAACGUGCCCGAUCGUGGGGGAUAACGAGGCGAAAGCUUUGCUAAUACCGCAUACGAUCUACGGAUGAAGGCAGGGGACCGCAAGGCCUUGCGCGGACGGAGCGGCCGAUGGCAGAUUAGGUAGUUGGUGGGAUAAAAGCUUACCAAGCCGACGAUCUGUAGCUGGUCUGAGAGGAUGAUCAGCCACACUGGGACUGAGACACGGCCCAGACUCCUACGGGAGGCAGCAGUGGGAAUUUUGGACAAUGGGCGCAAGCCUGAUCCAGCCAUGCCGCGUGCAGGAUGAAGGCCUUCGGGUUGUAAACUGCUUUUGUACGGAACGAAAAGCCUUCUUUUAAUACAGGAGGGUCAUGACGGUACCGUAAGAAUAAGCACCGGCUAACUACGUG
rnacentral:rRNA from 1 species